CUCUCCCCCUUUCUAACCGACUCCCCGCCGGCACACCUGGUGAAAAAGCAAGGUGCGAGUGUACCUGGGGCGAACACCAUGAUUUCCUUCAGCUCCUGGGUUAAGAGAGAAAGACAGGCAGACGAUGGGUAGGAGGAAGGCCAGGACUUGGCGGGGUCGGGUGCAGGUGGACGCGCAGGGCGCCGGCGGGCCGCGGGCGGGACGGUCAGCACCUCGGACAGCUCCCCGCCGCGCGAUCCCGGGCCGCAGCUCCAGCCACCGCUGCGCGCUCUGCCUCCACAAUGCACUGCUGCGCCCGCGGCCACCGCGGCGGCGGAAGGAGGAGACCGAAUCCCCGCUCAGUUCAUCGCUCAUUCCUGUGCCAGAUCGGCGUAUGCUGCUGCUGAGGAGCAGAGCACUUCUACCGCUUGCAUGGGAAGAGGAAGGACGGAAGGAGAAGAGAGAGAAAGCAAAGGAGCUUUCAUCCUGAUAUGUCAAUGCGUAUCAAGUGGUAGUAAAGAAGGAAACUGGAUCCCAUAAGAACUUAUCACAAGACACCUGACCUCUUUCUGGUACAGAGGGAUAUGCAACAAGGAAGACUUAUCUGAAGAGUGGACAUUUGCCUGAGUCAUAAAGGCUCCAGGAAAGUGCACCACCACAAUGGUGACUUUGUCUGCAAGCAUCAUCCAUGUAACUGAAGAAAUGUCUGCUGAUGAUUCACGAUGACCAGCCUGAAAAGAACCCUUCACAGGUUUCUUAGUGACUUUUCUCACUCUUUGAAGCUGCUUUAAGCACAGAUGCCUUCCUCACUCUCAGAUGCUCUUGCCUCCUUCUCAGGCCACAGAUGGCAGUACCCUCUCCCUCCCAGAACCAGCCCUAUAAACAGCUGUAGGAAUACAGCCUCUCUUUUAUUCUCUCCAUUGUGGCAGAAGAGGGAUGCUUCUAUCUACCCAAGGUCUGUCCUUCCAUCUGCCCUCACAUCUUCCCCUCCCACCUCAGAUAAAGUGCUACCAUGAGUUAUCUCCUUUGUCCCCAGAGUGCUCAGCUGGCCUCUCUCACCUGGAGUCUUUCCAUCAGCAUUUAACAAGCUCAGUGCUUUCCAAACAAAAUUGAAAACCAUCUCUAAAUGCCACACCCACUUCUGCCUAUAACCAUAUUCAAGUCCAGAUUAUAUCCUUUGGAGGACCCAAGUGCAGGGGUACUCUUCCCUAUGUGUAAUUCAAAUUAUUGUUGGUUAUUGAAACAACUGACAAAAGACCAAUAAAAACAUGAGGACUUCUUUUAUUUGUUCUAAUUACAUGACAAUAAGAAGGUACUCUGACACAUCAUACAUAAAUGGAGUAUAAUUUCUCAUUCUUCUGGUUGAGCAUGACAAUCACACCGGUCAUACAGUCAUAUGAAAGCAUGAGAUUUUCAAUGAUGACUCCUUUCAUUCCUUAUUUUUGAACUGUCAAAUAUUAAAUUUUUUCCACUG